rnacentral:rRNA from 1 species
UACGAAGGGGGCUAGCGUUGCUCGGAAUCACUGGGCGUAAAGCGCACGUAGGCGGAUUGUUAAGUCAGGGGUGAAAUCCUGGAGCUCAACUCCAGAACUGCCUUUGAUACUGAAGAUCUUGAGUUCGGGAGAGGUGAGUGGAACUGCGAGUGUAGAGGUGAAAUUCGUAGAUAUUCGCAAGAACACCAGUGGCGAAGGCGGCUCACUGGUCCGGUACUGGACGCUGAGGUGCGAAAAGCGUGGGGAGCAA